GACGAACGCUGGCGGCGUGCUUAACACAUGCAAGUCGAACGGAAAGGCCCUGCUUUUGUGGGGUGCUCGAGUGGCGAAGGGGUGAGUAACACGUGUGUAACCUGCCCUUGACUUUGGGAUAACUUCAGGAAACUGGGGCUAAUACCGGAUAGGAGAUCCCGCUGCAUGGAGGGGGUUGGAAAGUUUCGGCGGGUGGGGAUGGACUCGCGGCUUAUCAGCUUGUUGGUGGGGUAGUGGCUUACCAAGGCUUUGACGGGUAGCCGGCCUGAGAGGGUGACCGGCCACAUUGGGACUGAGAUACGGCCCAGACUCCUACGGGAGGCAGCAGUGGGGAAUAUUGCACAAUGGGCGGAAGCCUGAUGCAGCAACGCCGCGUGCGUGAUGACGUCCUUCGGGUUGUAAACCGCUUUCGCCUGUGACGAAGCGUGAGUGACGGUAAUGAGUAAAGAAGCACCGGCUAACUACGUG
rnacentral:rRNA from 1 species